rnacentral:rRNA from 1 species
UAACCCAUGCAUGUUUUUGACAUUUGAAAAAUGGACUGCUCAGUAAUACUCACUUUAUUUUAUGUAAAUUUUUGAUUAAUUAACUACGUUAAAGUGUAGAUAAGAUGUUUACAGUAAGAGUGAGACCUAUCAGCUAGUUGUUAAGGUAAUGGCUUAACAAGGCUGUGACGGGUAACGGUAUUACUUUGUAAUAUUCCGGAGAAGGAGCCUGAGAGACGGCUACUAAGUCUAAGGAUUGCAGCAGGGGCGAAACUUGACCUAUGGAUUUUAUCUGAGGCAGUUAUGGGAAGUAAUAUUAUAUUGUUUCAUAUUUUAAAAGUAUAUGAGGUGAUUAAUUGGAGGGCAAAUCAAGUGCCAGCA